UUUUAAAAAAUUCAUUCUUUUGUACUAUUAAAAACUGGUAUCUGACAAAAUAACCAAACAGUGACAUAUAGCAUUCCACUUGUACCUUAUGCUGACGUAUAUGAAUUAAUUUUUAACAGUAAAAAUGAAAUAAAUUUUUAAUA
rnacentral:pre_miRNA from 1 species